CUACGGGAGGCAGCAGUGGGGAAUAUUGCACAAUGGGCGAAAGCCUGAUCCAGCCAUGCCGCGUGAGUGAUGAAGGCCUUAGGGUUGUAAAACUCUUUCGCCGGAGAAGAUAAUGACGGUAUCCGGAGAAGAAGCCCCGGCUAACUUCGUGCCAGCAGCCGCGGUAAUACGAAGGGGGCUAGCGUUGUUCGGAAUUACUGGGCGUAAAGCGCACGUAGGCGGAUUUGUAAGUAGGGGGUGAAAUCCCAAGGCUCAACCCUGGAACUGCCUUCUAGACUGCAAGUCUGGAGAUCAGGAGAGGCGAGUGGAAUACCGAGUGUAGAGGUGAAAUUCGUAGAUAUUCGGAGGAACACCAGUGGCGAAGGCGGCUCACUGGUCCGGUACUGACGCUGAGGUGCGAAAGCGUGGGGAGCAAACAGGAUUAGAUACCCGUGUAGUCC
rnacentral:rRNA from 1 species